rnacentral:rRNA from 1 species
CGGCGGACGGGUGAGUAACACGUGGAUAACCUACCUAUAAGACUGGGAUAACUUCGGGAAACCGGAGCUAAUACCGGAUAAUAUUUUGAACCGCAUGGUUCAAAAGUAAAAGACGGUCUUGCUGUCACUUAUAGAUGGAUACGCGCUGCAUUAGCUAGUUGGUAAGGUAACGGCUUACCAAGGCAACGAUGCAUAGCCGACCUGAGAGGGUGAUCGGCCACACUGGAACUGAGACACGGUCCAG